GAUGAACGCUGGCGGCGUGCCUAAUACAUGCCAGUCGAGCGAACAGACGAGGAGCUUGCUCCUCUGACGUUAGCGGCGGACGGGUGAGUAACACGUGGAUAACCUACCUAUAAGACUGGGAUAACUUCGGGAAACCGGAGCUAAUACCGGAUAAUAUAUUGAACCGCAUGGUUCAAUAGUGAAAGACGGUUUUGCUGUCACUUAUAGAUGGAUCCGCGCCGCAUUAGCUAGUUGGUAAGGUAACGGCUUACCAAGGCAACGAGGCGUAGCCGACCUGAGAGGGUGAUCGGCCACACGGGAGCUGAGACACGCACCAGACUCCUACGGGAGGCAGCAGUAGGGAAUCUGCCGCAAUGGGCGAAAGCUUGACGGAGCAACGCCGCGUGAGUGAUGAAGGUCUUCGGAUCGUAAAACUCUGUUAUUAGGUAAGAACAAAUGUGUAAGUAACUAUGCACGUCUUGACGGUACCUAAUCAGAAAGCCACGGCUAACUACGUG
rnacentral:rRNA from 1 species